rnacentral:rRNA from 1 species
UACGUAGGGUGCGAGCGUUAUUCGGAAUUACUGGGCGUAAAGCGUGCGCAGGCGGUUCGCUGUGUCCUGUGUGAAAGCCCCGGGCUUAACCUGGGAAUGGCAUGGUAAACUGGCGGGCUGGAGUGUGGCAGAGGGGGGUGGAAUUCCGCGUGUAGCAGUGAAAUGCGUAGAGAUGCGGAGGAACACCGAUGGCGAAGGCAGCCCCCUGGGCUAACACUGACGCUCAGGCACGAAAGCGUGGGGAGCAAACAGG